AAGCAAGAACCGGCAGUAAUGGCAGAGCUGGAUGAAAGAUUGAGAAGACUAAACUCGUUGAAAAUGGAUGAAAAAUAGCAGUUACCAUCACAGUUUGAUCAAAGUUGUUACUUUUAAGACAUUCCAAAGAAGGGGCUUGUUACUUCCAUGGAAGUGAGAAUGUUUAAUUUUAUGGAGUUCCAUCUGUGAAGAGGGGAGGACCCAGUAAAGGGUGUCUGCUGAUUUCAAUGAUGA
rnacentral:misc_RNA from 1 species